rnacentral:rRNA from 1 species
AGUCACGCUGUAAACGAUGUCGAUUGGAGUUUGUUGCCUAGAGUGAUGGGCUCCGAAGCUAACGCGAUAAAUCGACCGCUGGGGAGUACGGCCGCAAGGUUAAAACUCAAAUGAAUUGACGGGGGCCCGCACAAGCGGUGGAGCAUGUGGUUUAAUUCGAUGCAACGCGAAGAACCUUACCUGGUCUUGACAUCCAUAGAAUUCUGCAGAGAUGUGGGAGUGCCUUCGGGAACUAUGAGACAGGUGCUGCAUGGCUGUCGUCAGCUCGUGUUGUGAAAUGUUGGGUUAAGUCCCGCAACGAGCGCAACCCUUAUUCUUUGUUGCCAGCGAUUUGGUCGGGAACUCAAAGGAGACUGCCGUUGAUAAAGCGGAGGAAGGUGGGGACGACGUCAAGUCAUCAUGGCCCUUACGACCAGGGCUACACACGUGCUACAAUGGCGUAUACAAAGGGAAGCGAAGGUGCGAGCUGGAGCGGAUCCCAUAAAGUACGUCUAAGUUCGGAUUGGAGUCUGCAACUCGACUCCAUGAAGUCGGAAUCGCUAGUAAUCGUAGAUCAGAAUGCUACGGUGAAUACGUUCCCGGGCCUUGUACACACCGCCCGUCACACCAUGGGAGUGGGUUGCACCAGAAGUAGAUAGCUUAACCGCGAGGGGGGCGUUUACCACGGUGUGAUUCAUGACUGGGGUGAAGUCGUAACAAGGUAACCA